rnacentral:rRNA from 1 species
GGGGAAUUUUCCGCAAUGGGCGAAAGCCUGACGGAGCAAUACCGCGUGAGGGAUGAAAGCCUGUGGGUUGUAAACCUCUUUUCUCGAGGAAGAAGUUCUGACGGUACUUGAGGAAUAAGCAUCGGCUAACUCUGUGCCAGCAGCCGCGGUAAUACAGAGGAUGCAAGCGUUAUCCGGAAUCACUGGGCAUAAAGCGUCUGUAGGUUGCCUACCAAGUCUGCUGUUAAAGAUCAGGGCCUAACCCUGGGAAAGCAGUGGAAACUAGUAGGCUUGAGUGUGGUAGAGGUAGAGGGAAUUCCUGGUGUAGCGGUGAAAUGCGUAGAUAUUAGGAAGAACACCAAUGGCGAAAGCACUCUGCUGGGCCAUAACUGACACUGAGAGACGACAGCUAGGGGAGCAAAUGGGAUUAGAUACCCCAGUAGUC